AGCUAGGUGGAACAGCGGCUAAUUCACCGGGCUCAUAACCCGGGGGUCGGAGGUUCGAGUCCUCCCCUGGCUC